rnacentral:rRNA from 1 species
AUUGAACGCUGGCGGCAGGCCUAACACAUGCAAGUCGAGCGGCAGCGCGGGGGCAACCCUGGCGGCGAGCGGCGGACGGGUGAGGAAUACAUCGGAAUCUACCCAGUCGUGGGGGAUAACGUAGGGAAACUUACGCUAAUACCGCAUACGACCUGAGGGUGAAAGCAGGGGACCGCAAGGCCUUGCGCGAUUGGAUGAGCCGAUGUCCGAUUAGCUAGUUGGUGAGGUAAAGGCUCACCAAGGCGACGAUCGGUAGCUGGUCUGAGAGGAUGAUCAGCCACACUGGAACUGAGACACGGUCCAGACUCCUACGGGAGGCAGCAGUGGGGAAUAUUGGACAAUGGGCGCAAGCCUGAUCCAGCCAUGCCGCGUGUGUGAAGAAGGCCUCGGGUUGUAAAGCACUUUUGUUGGGGAAGGAAUCUUCCGGCCUAAUACGCCGGGAGGCUGACGGUACCCCAAAGAAUAAGCACCGGCUAACUUCGUGCCAGCAGCCGCGGUAAUACGAAGGGUGCAAGCGUUACUCGGAAUUACUGGGCGUAAAGCGUGCGUAGGUGGUUCGUUAAGUCUGCCGUGAAAGCCCCGGGGCUCAACCUGGGAAUGGCGGUGGAUACUGGCGGACUAGAGUGCGGUAGAGGGUGGUGGAAUUCCCCGGUGUAGCAGUGAAAUGCGUAGAGAUCGGGAGGAACAUCUGUGGCGAAGGCGGCCACCUGGGACCAGCACUGACACUGAGGCACGAAAAGCGUGGGGGAGCAAAACAGGAUUAGAUACCCUGGUAG